UACAAAGGGGGCUAGCGUUGUUCGGAAUUACUGGGCGUAAAGCGCACGUAGGCGGAUAUUUAAGUCAGGGGUGAAAUCCCAGAGCUCAACUCUGGAACUGCCUUUGAUACUGGGUAUCUUGAGUAUGGAAGAGGUAAGUGGAAUUGCGAGUGUAGAGGUGAAAUUCGUAGAUAUUCGCAGGAACACCAGUGGCGAAGGCGCUUACUGGUCCAUAACUGACGCUGAGGUGCGAAAGCGUGGGGAGCAAACAGG
rnacentral:rRNA from 1 species